rnacentral:rRNA from 1 species
UUUAUUUUUUAAAAGUGACGGGCGAUAUGUGCAUGUUUGAUUUUCGUUUCAUAUUAAAAUUCUUUUAUAAUUUUAUUUUUAAAUCCUUAUUUUUUUUUUUAAUUCUUUUUGAUCUUUAAAUAUUUUUGUUGUAUUCCACUUUUUCUUUAGUAUAAUUUUUGUCUUGAUUAGUUUUGUUUUCAUUAUUAAACCAAAGAGAAAAUUUUUAUUUUAUUUUUUAAACAAUGAUAUAAAAAAUUUUAUUUUAAAGUUCAGUUUAUUGUGGGUUAUCAAUUAUAUAGCAGAAUCCUCUAAGAGAGUCUAACACCGCCAUUUUAUUUAGUUUUUUCUUUUUUAAAUACUUUCCUUUUUUAUAUUAAAA